CCGCGACGCGGUGGCUGAUGGGACAGGAUGGUCCGGGUGUACUAUAUUGACUGUCCUCAAUAUUAAGUGUCGAAAACAAGCUUCCUCUGUGACUUUUAGUUUCUUAAUGUAAGUAGGUUAAAAGAGUUUAGCGAUGGCCCUAAAUUGCUGCGUUAUUGUUUGUAAUGUCCGGAAUCGUAAAAAGAUCGAAAACGGACUUUUUAAAUGGAUUCUCCACCAGAAACAAGGCGAGGAGCUCAUGUGUUGGACGCAACAAAAAGGACACGUGACACGUCCUCGUGUAACUUUCUCCAGCUCCCUGAGACCUGCUGCUUUGUUCCAGACAUUCUGACAAACCUUCAGAUGAAACUCCAGGAGAGGAGCUCAGUGAGGCUGCAGAUGAUGGAGAGGAGGAACAUGAAGCAGCAGCUGAAGCUACAAAUACAAUGUGUGAACAAAGAAGAGCAGAAACAAACCACCUGUUACAGGAGAACAGGGAUGGACGUCCAUCAGACAAGCUCAUAACAGAAGCUGUGGCCUUCUCUCCAGAUUAUUACCCGGGGACGUUGUUAUGACAGAGGCUUUGAUAUUAAAGAGUGUGGGGGUCGAGCUCAAGGUUCUUUAUUGGCAUUCACAUGGCAUGUUGUACAUGAGGUGGAAUGAAACUGUGCACACAGGGUCCCAGUCACAUCCAACAAAAGUAUAAAUGAAUGACGUGCUGAGGUUCAAAUCCCAUCAGUCACUAAAUGGAGAUGUGAACUUGAUGCUCAGGAUGUUGAACACACACGAGCACACCUUAGAGUUCAUGUGGAAACAGUGACUGGUUGCAUGAGAAACACAAUGUUGCACAGAAAUACAGUGCCAUGAAUUUCCAUGUAUUGUUUUUUUGUCCUCUGGGAGAAGUUUGUCUCGAUGGAUAGUCCACUUUGUUUUGAGCUGCUUUUCAGCGUUAUGGAGGAGGAUACAGUGGUGACUCCAUGAAAAACACCAGUUUGUUUCUGAGGACAGUAAAAAUGGUGGUCGAGACGGGAAUGCCCCCAACGCAGUGACGUAUGUUCCAAAGCUCUAGACAGGGGACAAGUGGACUGUCUUAGUGAUGGACACAGGACAACUUACUGUGGACUGUCUUAGUGAUGGACAGACGGGGCUAAUGGGACAAAGAGUUUGACAUUUAAAUGUUACUUUGAUGUCAAGAUAGAGCAGAGACAAGGUUGUAACAAAGGGAUCACCCGUAACCUUGACCUUUGACCCUGUGACCUUAAAGCAAUAGGGAUCAUCCUUGAGCUCGGAGGUCUCCAGCUGCCGUUUUGGGUUCCUGUGUUAAAGGAUUAAUAGUCACAGAUUACAGAUUAGUCUGCAGGUUGAUCUUCGUCUCAGAACCGUUGGCCCGACUUGGAGGUUUCACCUCUGGUUCCUCCAGCGGUUCUGACGGACUUGGACCUGUGGGACAGCACCAUCUCCGGGUCCUGCACUCAGAACUUCCAACGCAAAUUAUUCUAUGAUCCUGAAAAAUGUUUCUAUUGAAUUAAAAAACAGUUUUUUAAUCAGAAAAAAUAAAUAAAAUAAAAA